rnacentral:rRNA from 1 species
AGUGAACGCUGGCGGCGUGCCUAAUACAUGCAAGUCGAACGGAGUGGCGCACGGGUGAGUAAUAUAUAGCUAAUCUGCCCCUUGCUGGAGGACAACAGUUUGAAAUGACUGCUAAUACUCCAUAGCGAGGGAUGAGGCUAUAUCGUAUCAGCUAGUCGGUGGGGUAACGGCCUACCGAGGCUAUGACGCGUAACUGGUCUGAGAGGAUGAUCAGUCAGAUUGGAAGUGAGACACGGGCGAGACACGUAGGAGAGGGAGCAGAAGGGAAAAGGGCGCAAUGGGGGAAACCCUGACGGAGCAACGGGGCGUGGAGGAUGACAAUUUGCGGAGAGUAAAGUGCUUUUGAUAGGGAAGCGGUACCUAACGAAUAAGCACCGGCUAACUCCGUGCCAGCAGCCGCGGUAAUUC